rnacentral:rRNA from 1 species
UACGUAGGGUGCAAGCGUUGUCCGGAAUUAUUGGGCGUAAAGAGCUCGUAGGCGGUUUGUCGCGUCUGCUGUGAAAACUGGAGGCUCAACCUCCAGCCUGCAGUGGGUACGGGCAGACUAGAGUGCGGUAGGGAGAUUGGAAUUCCUGGUGUAGCGGUGGAAUGCGCAGAUAUCAGGAGGAACACCGGUGGCGAAGGCGGGUCUCUGGGCGAGUGAACU